AAGCCUAGGGUCAAAAGUGGAUCAAAAAGCCAAAACAAAACUUGAUAUUCAACAUGAAUCAUCUUUGAUCAAGUAAGAACAAGUCCUAAAAAGAACCAAACCAAAAUCAUCAUGCAAAGGCAUUUCAUGUGCAAGGGAAGUCAAAGACAAUUUCAAAGCACACAUUUGGACAUUGAGAAUGAAAAUUCCAAAUCAAAACAGAAAUGAUUCAAAUAAUUCUGGAAAAAAUCAGGAGCAUUUAACACAUCCAAUAUAAUUAGCAUACAAAAAAUCAGAAUCAACAAAGAUCAUUUGAUAUGGAAAUGAAAUUUCACAAGUUGAUCAACCAAAUGUGUGACACAAAUUGUCACACCAUACAAACAUGUGUGUAAAACAGAAAUGGUAAAUGAGAAAAAUACCAAACCAAGCCUCAAAGGUCCAUCAACAUGACAAGAAACAGCAUACAAAAUUUCAAAGCAUUUGGAUCAAUAUCAGGCAUAUCACAAUAGAAAGAGUGGAGCAAGGUCACAAAUACACAUAUGUUCAAUCAACCUAGAGCAAACAAAAUUCUAGCCAUGCACAACUUCGGCAAAUAUCAUCAUAAAAAACUAGACACACAGAGGAUCAUGCUGCACAAAAUUUGGAAUUAUUUGAGGCAUUUUUCAAUUUGUUAUGCAUUUUUAAAGUUGAUGAAAAA
rnacentral:lncRNA from 1 species